ensembl:snRNA U6 U6 spliceosomal RNA
GUCUGCUUUGGCAAUACAUACAUAUACUAAAAUUGGAAUGAUAUGGAGAAGAUUAGCACGGCCCCUGCACGAGGAUGACAUGCAAAUUCAUAAAGCAUUCAUAUUUUUA